ensembl:lncRNA
ACAAUGGCUAUGGAUUUACAAUGGCUAUGAUUUACAAUGGCUAUGGAUUUACAAUGGCUAUGGAUUUACAAUGCUAUGGAUUUACAAUGGCUAUGGAUUUACAAUGGCUAUGGAUUUACAAUGGCUAUGGAUUUACAAUGGCUAUGGAUUUACAAUGGCUAUGGAUUUCAAUGCUAUGGAUUUACAAUGGCUAUGGAUUACAAUGGCUAUGGAUUUACAAUGGCUAUGGUUUUGUAUAUUUACAAUGGCUAUGGAUUUACAUGGCUAUGGAUUUACAAUGGCUAUGGAUUUACAAUGGCUAUGGAUUUACAAUGGCUAUGGAUUUACAAUGGCUAUGGAUUUACAAUGGCUAUGGAUUUACAAUGGCUAUGGAUUUAAUUUACAAUGGCUAUGGAUUUACAAUGGCUAUGGAUUUACAAUGGCUAUGGAUUUACAAUGGCUAUGGAUUUACAAUGGCUAUGGAUUUACAAUGGCUAUGGAUUUACAAUGGCUAUGGAUUUACAAUGGCUAUGGAUUUACAAUGGCUAUGGAUUUAAUGGCUAUGGAUUUACAAUGGCUAUGGAUUUACAAUGGCUAUGGAUUUACAAUGGCUAUGGAUUUACAAUGGCUAUGGAUUUACAAUGGCUAUGGAUUUUACAAUGGCUAUGGAUUUACAAUGGCUAUGGAUUUACAAUGGCUAUGGAUUUACAAUGGCUAUGGAUUUACAAUGGCUAUGGAUUUACAAUGGCUAUGGAUUUACAAUGGCUAUGGAUUUACAAUGGCUAUGGAUUCAUGCUAUGAUUUACAUGGUAUGGAUUUACAAUGGCUAUGGAUUUACAAUGGCUAUGGAUUUACAAUGGCUAUGGAUUUACAUGGCUAUGGAUUUACAAUGGCUAUGGAUUUACAAUGGCUAUGGAUUUACAAUGGCUAUGGAUUUACAAUGGCUAUGGAUUUACAAUGGCUAUGGAUUUACAAUGGCUAUGAUUACAUGGCUAUGAUUUACAAUGGCUAUGGAUUUACAAUGGCUAU